UAGGGAAUCUUCGGCAAUGGACGGAAGUCUGACCGAGCAACGCCGCGUGAGUGAAGAAGGUUUUCGGAUCGUAAAGCUCUGUUGCAAGAGAAGAACGAGUGUGAGAGUGGAAAGUUCACACUGUGACGGUAUCUUACCAGAAAGGGACGGCUAACUACGUGCCAGCAGCCGCGGUAAUACGUAGGUCCCGAGCGUUGUCCGGAUUUAUUGGGCGUAAAGCGAGCGCAGGCGGUUAGAUAAGUCUGAAGUUAAAGGCUGUGGCUUAACCAUAGUAGGCUUUGGAAACUGUUUAACUUGAGUGCAAGAGGGGAGAGUGGAAUUCCAUGUGUAGCGGUGAAAUGCGUAGAUAUAUGGAGGAACACCGGUGGCGAAAGCGGCUCUCUGGCUUGUAACUGACGCUGAGGCUCGAAAGCGUGGGGAGCAAACAGGAUUAGAUACCCUGGUAGUCCACGCUGUAAACGAUGAGUGCUAGGUGUUAGACCCUUUCCGGGGUUUAGUGCCGUAGCUAACGCAUUAAGCACUCCGCCUGGGGAGUACGACCGCAAGGUUG
rnacentral:rRNA from 1 species